rnacentral:rRNA from 1 species
UACGGAGGGUGCAAGCGUUAUCCGGAUUCACUGGGUUUAAAGGGUGCGUAGGUGGGUUGGUAAGUCAGUGGUGAAAUCCCCGAGCUUAACUUGGGAACUGCCAUUGAUACUAUUAAUCUUGAAUACCGUGGAGGUUAGCGGAAUAUGUCAUGUAGCGGUGAAAUGCUCAGAUAUGACAUAGAACACCAAUUGCGAAGGCAGCUGGCUACACGAAUAUUGACACUGAUGCACGAAAGCGUGGGGAUCAAACAGG